rnacentral:rRNA from 1 species
GAUCAUGGCUCAGAUUGAACGCUGGCGGCAUGCUUUACACAUGCAAGUCGAACGGCAGCGGGGGUUUAAGCUUGCUUAGACCUGCCAGCGAGUGGCGAACGGGUGAGUACAACAUCGGAACGUGUCCGUUUGUGGGGGGACAACUGCUCGAAAGGGUAGCUAAUACCGCAUAAGACCUGAGGGUGAAAGUGGGGGAUCGCAAGACCUCACGCGAACGGAGCGGCCGAUGACUGAUUAGGUAG